UACGUAGGGGGCAAGCGUUGUCCGGAAUCAUUGGGCGUAAAGCGCACGUAGGCGGCUUUGUAAGUUAGAGGUGAAAGCCUGGAGCUCAACUCCAGAAUUGCCUUUAAGACUGCAUCGCUCGAAUCCAGGAGAGGUGAGUGGAAUUCCGAGUGUAGAGGUGAAAUUCGUAGAUAUUCGGAAGAACACCAGUGGCGAAGGCGGCUCACUGGACUGGUAUUGACGCUGAGGUGCGAAAGCGUGGGGAGCAAACAGG
rnacentral:rRNA from 1 species